GCAUGGGUUUCAAUUUAUGGCAGGCCUAUUCCUCUGGGCCUCUCACAGUGUCCCAUGCUAGUACAACCCCUGGCCCCGAACCACUGCCUGGCCUCUUUCUGUAGGUUGCUAGCACUGAAGUGGGUUGCACAGUA